rnacentral:rRNA from 1 species
AUUGAACGCUGGCGGCAGGCCUAACACAUGCAAGUCGAACGAGUGGCGGACGGGUGAGUAAUGUCUGGGAAACUGCCCGAUGGAGGGGGAUAACUACUGGAAACGGUAGCUAAUACCGCAUACCAUCGGAUGUGCCCAGAUGGGAGUAGCUAGUAGGUGGGGUAACGGCUCACCUAGGAGACGAUCCCUAGCUGGUCUGAGAGGAUGACCGGCCACACGGGAACUGGGAAACGGCCCAGACUCCUACGGAGGGAAGCAGUGGGGAAUAUUGCACAAGGGGGGCAAGCCUGAUGCAGCAAUGCCGCGUGUAUGAGGAAGGCCUUCGGGUUGUAAAGUACUUUCAGCGAGGAGGCGUUACUCGCAGAAGAAGCACCGGCUAACUCCGUGCCAGCCGCCGCGGUAAUAC